AAACUUCUGGCUGGAAGCACACACACACACACCCCAAACUUCUCUCCCCCGCCCCUGUCCUGCAGACGCUCUGGAUGCCCUUCCCAAUGGCUUUGCCUGUCUCCCUCCGGCGGACGGCGACCUCUGCUCCUUGCCCGGCUUGCCGGACGCCACAAUCCUCAUCAGCAACGUCUGUAGCAUCGGAGGCCACGUGGCUGAGAAACUCUUCCAAGGGAGCCGGGACAGCAAGUGGCCGGUGGAUCCUUUGGCCGGCCGGGCGGAAGGCGAGGGCCGGCCGGUCGAGGCGGCUCCCGAAGAGGCCGAAGAGAGGCCAGCCGAGAACAUGGCUCAGCCCGGUCUGCUGCGGGAGGAACACAUCACGUGUGUGCACAGUAUCUUGGACAAGUUCCUGCAGGCGUACGGCAGCCUCAUCCCCAUCAGCGUGGAUGAGGUGCUGGCGAAGCUAGAGGACAUCUUUCAGCAGGAAUUCUCCACCCUCCAGAGGAAAAGCUUGGUGAACCAGCUGAUCCAGUCCUACCAGCGCAUACCGGGCAACGCCGUGCUGCGGACCUUCCGGGUGACUUACAAGCGCCACGUGGUGACCAUGGACGACCUGCAGACCCUCUUUGGCUCCAACUGGCUGAACGACCAG
rnacentral:lncRNA from 1 species